rnacentral:hammerhead_ribozyme from 1 species
AUCCAGUUGACGAGUCCCAACUAGGACGAGACGGGCUUCCUGGAU